AUUGAACGCUGGCGGCAUGCCUUACACAUGCAAGUCGAACGGCAGCACGGGAGCAAUCCUGGUGGCGAGUGGCGAACGGGUGAGUAAUAUAUCGGAACGUGCCCAGUCGUGGGGGAUAACGUAGCGAAAGCUACGCUAAUACCGCAUACGAUCUAUGGAUGAAAGCGGGGGAUCGCAAGACCUCGCGCGAUUGGAGCGGCCGAUAUCAGAUUAGGUAGUUGGUGAGGUAAAGGCUCACCAAGCCGACGAUCUGUAGCUGGUCUGAGAGGACGACCAGCCACACUGGGACUGAGACACGGCCCAGACUCCUACGGGAGGGCAGCAGGUGGGGAAUUUUGGACAAGUGGGCGCAAGCCUGAUCCAGCAAUG
rnacentral:rRNA from 1 species